AAACGACUCUCGGCAACGGAUAUCUCGGCUCUCGCAUCGAUGAAGAACGUAGCGAAAUGCGAUACUUGGUGUGAAUUGCAGAAUCCCGCGAACCAUCGAGUCUUUGAACGCAAGUUGCGCCCGAAGCCAUUAGGUUGAGGGCACGUCUGCCUGGGCGU
rnacentral:rRNA from 1 species